rnacentral:rRNA from 1 species
UACGUAGGUGGCGAGCGUUGUCCGGAAUUAUUGGGCGUAAAGCGCGCGCAGGUGGUUUAAUAAGUUUGAUGUAAAAGCCCACGGCUCAACCGUGGAAGUUCAUUGGAAACUGUUAAACUUGAGUGCAGGAGAGAAAAGCGGAAUUCCUAGUGUAGCGGUGAAAUGCGUAGAGAUUAGGAGGAACACCAGUGGCGAAGGCGGCUUUUUGGCCUGCAACUGACGCUGAGGCGCGAAAGCGUGGGGAGCAAACAGG